rfam:Anncaliia algerae PRA109 cont4.5264, whole genome shotgun sequence.
UCACCUCUCAAAGCUUAUAGCUUUGAUCAAGUGUAGUAUCUGUUCUAGCCAGAGUAAAAUCUGGUUAAUAACUCAUCAGAGUUAAAUGGCUGAUGCACAAUCGUUGAAUAAGCUUGCUUUUUCUUGAUUGUAUCACAUCAGUCAUGACUAGUAAGUUGUUUGUUCCAAUCUUACUAGUCACUUUUU